UAUACGACCGUACCGCAAACCGACACUGGUGCGCGAGAUGAGUAUUCUAAGGCGCUUGAGAGAACUCAGGAGAAGGAACUCGGCAAAUUGACACCGUAACUUCGGAAGAAGGUGUGCCCUAUUAGUGUGUAGUGAACAACGAAGCAUGAAUGGGUUGCAAAAAAUCGGUGGCUGCGACUGUUUAUUAAAAACACAGCACUCUGCAAACACGAAAGUGGACGUAUAGGGUGUGACGCCUGCCCGGUGCUGGAAGAUUAAAUGAUGGGGUGCAAGCUCUUGAUUGAAGUCCCAGUAAACGGCGGCCGUAACUAUAACGGUCCUAAGGUAGCGAAAUUCCUUGUCGGGUAAGUUCCGACCUGCACGAAUGGCGUAACGAUGGCCACACUGUCUCCUCCUGAGACUCAGCGAAGUUGAAAUGUUUGUGAUGAUGCAAUCUCCCCGCGGAAAGACGGAAAGACCCCAUGAACCUUUACUGUAGCUUUGUAUUGGACUUUGAACAGAUCUGUGUAGGAUAGGUGGGAGGCUUUGAAGCAGGGUCGCUAGAUCUUGUGGAGCCAACGUUGAAAUACCACCCUGGUGUGUUUGAGGUUCUAACCUAGGUCCAUUAUCUGGAUCGGGGACAGUGCAUGGUAGGCAGUUUGACUGGGGCGGUCUCCUCCCAAAGCGUAACGGAGGAGUUCGAAGGUACGCUAGUUACGGUCGGACAUCGUGACGAUAGUGCAAUGGCAUAAGCGUGCUUAACUGCGAGACUGACAAGUCGAGCAGAUGCGAAAGCAGGACAUAGUGAUCCGGUGGUUCUGUAUGGAAGGGCCAUCGCUCAACGGAUAAAAGGUACUCUGGGGAUAACAGGCUGAUACCGCCCAAGAGUUCAUAUCGACGGCGGUGUUUGGCACCUCGAUGUCGGCUCAUCUCAUCCUGGGGCUGUAGCCGGUCCCAAGGGUAUGGCUGUUCGCCAUUUAAAGAGGUACGUGAGCUGGGUUUAAAACGUCGUGAGACAGUUUGGUCCCUAUCUUCCGUGGGCGCUGCAGAUUUGAGGAAGCCUGCUCCUAGUACGAGAGGACCGGAGUGGACACACCUCUGGUGUAUCGGUUGUCACGCCAGUGGCAUUGCCGAGUAGCUAAGUGUGGAAGAGAUAACCGCUGAAAGCAUCUAAGCGGGAAACUCGUUUCAAGAUGAGAUCUGCCGGGGCCUUGAGCCCCCUAAAGAGUCGUUCAAGACCAGGACGUUGAUAGGUCAGGUGUGGAAGCGU
rnacentral:rRNA from 1 species